GCAAUUUGGCCCUUCAACCCGCAGAACCAUCUCGGCUCUGUUGUAUUUUCCAGCGCCCCUCCAGUUGGCUGGAUUUAAGGUACCCUGGGGAGAUGUCCAGGCUUUCUCUUUGCAUUUUGUUGCUGGCUGCUGUUUACUGCGAGUCUUCUCCAUGGGUUCAGCGACAUUGGCGUCAAUAUUUUAUUUGGCGUCCUCGUCCGCGUCCACAUGCAAGGCCAAAACAGACUCUCCGGCCACGGGGAUACAUGAGCGCUCCCACGCAGGAAGAUCCAGUGAAGGUGCCCUACCUCCCAGCCCAGGCAAGCAGGGAGUGGGCACCAGCCGGAAGUGAGCUGGAGCCAAUACCCGUGAACGGUGGAGAUGAAGGAGCUGCCUCCCCAGCUGGUGGUAGUGAUGGCUCAUCAGAGUCCACCAAUGAGCGCUACAUCAUGAUCACGACACCGCUUGGUUUUCAGACUCGUUAUGUAGCGAAGUCCUUAAACAGUUAUAAGCACGGGAAGAAGGUGUUUUCCCAGACAACCUACAUCCCAUUGGACGUGCCUCCCCCAGUCGUCCCUGAUCCUCCUGCAGAGGCUCAACCUGAACAGCUCCCAAAUGAAAGGAAGGGCUAGGAGCUGAGAUCACUGUGCCAUAGAGGCUCCUCUGGAUCAGGAUGCCGUUCCUUUACAUUCCACAUCUUAACAAUGAAAUAAAUACUACAUUUCUACCCUA